UACGGGGGGGGCAAGCGUUGUUCGGAAUUACUGGGCGUAAAGGGCUCGUAGGCGGCCAACUAAGUCAGACGUGAAAUCCCCAGCUUAACCUGGGAACUGCGUCUGAUACUGGAUGGCUUGAAUUCGGGAGAGGGAUGCAGAAUUCCAGGUGUAGCGGUGAAAUGCGUAGAUAUCUGGAGGAAUACCGGUGGCGAAGGCGGCAGUCCUGGACCGACAUUGACGCUGAUGAGCGAAAGCUAGGGGAGCAAACGGG
rnacentral:rRNA from 1 species